GAUGAACGCUGGCGGCGUGCCUAAUACAUGCAAGUCGAGCGAACAGACGAGGAGCUUGCUCCUCUGACGUUAGCGGCGGACGGGUGAGUAACACGUGGAUAACCUACCUAUAAGACUGGGGUAACUUCGGGAAACCGGAGCUAAUACCGGAUAAUAUAUUGAACCGCAUGGUUCAAUAGUGAAAGACGGUUUUGCUGUCACUUAUAGAUGGAUCCGCGCCGCAUUAGCUAGUUGGUAAGGUAACGGCUUACCAAGGCAACGAUGCGUAGCCGACCUGAGAGGGUGAUCGGCCACACUGGAACUGAGACACGGUCCAGACUCCUACGGGAGGCAGCAGUAGGGAAUCUUCCGCAAUGGGCGAAAGCAUGACGGAGCAACGCCGCGUGAGUGAUGAAGGUCUUCGGAUCGUAAAACUCUGUUAUUAGGGAAGAACAAAUGUGUAAGUAACUAUGCACGUCUUGACGGUACCUAAUCAGAAAGCCACGGCUAACUACGUG
rnacentral:rRNA from 1 species